AUUAGCAAAGCUAUACCAAAAAUAGGUUCACGUAAGAAAGUGCCUAUUAGUUUGCGUAGGAAUGCCCGUUUUAGUUUACGGAAGAGUGCACAUAGAAUAACAAAAGGGGUUUUGGAAUUCCUCUUCCAACUCGUCCCAGAAUGGGCGUUAUGGCAAAGAACAAGAAGAAAAAGACAGAAGGAAUUUGUCCAAUAG
rnacentral:rRNA from 1 species